rnacentral:tRNA from 1 species
GUGGGUAUAGCUCAGUGGUAGAACUGCAUGCUUAGCAUGCACGAGGUCCUGGGUUCAAUCCCCAGUAUCUCCA